rnacentral:rRNA from 1 species
UGGGGAAUAUUGGACAAUGGGGGGAACCCUGAUCCAGCCAUGCCGCGUGUGUGAAGAAGGCCUUAGGGUUGUAAAGCACUUUAAGCGAGGAGGAGGGUACUGGUAUUAAUACUACCAGGUACUGGACGUUACUCGCAGAAUAAGCACCGGCUAACUCUGUGCCAGCAGCCGCGGUAAUACAGAGGGUGCGAGCGUUAAUCGGAUUUACUGGGCGUAAAGCGUGCGUAGGCGGCUAAUUGAGUCGGAUGUGAAAUCCCCGAGCUUAACUUGGGAAUUGCAUUCGAUACUGGUUAGCUAGAGUGUGGGAGAGGAUGGUAGAAUUCCAGGUGUAGCGGUGAAAUGCGUAGAGAUCUGGAGGAAUACCGAUGGCGAAGGCAGCCAUCUGGCCUAACACUGACGCUGAGGUACGAAAGCAUGGGGAGCAAACAGG